rnacentral:tRNA from 1 species
GAUCGCGUAGGCCGUGGCGAACAGGGUCGUGCCGUGACUGGGCACGUGAUUGGCGGGGCUGUUCUGCGUCAGCCAGCGUCCC